UUCCUGUGAUGGUUAACUUUAUGUGCCAACUUGGCUGGGCCACAGGCAUUUGGAA
rnacentral:snoRNA from 1 species